rnacentral:rRNA from 1 species
GACGAACGCUGGCGGCGUGCUUAACACAUGCAAGUCGAGCGGUAAGGCCUUUCGGGGUACACGAGCGGCGAACGGGUGAGUAACACGUGGGUGACCUGCCCUUCACUCUGGGAUAAGCCUGGGAAAUUGGGUCUAAUACCGGAUAUUCACUUUCCCUCGCAUGGGGGUGGGUGGAAAGUUUUCGGUGGGGAGUGGCCGCGGCCUAUCAGCUUGUUGGUGGGGUGGAUGGCC